GAUGAAGAACGUAGCGAAUUGCGAUAAGUAAUGUGAAUUGCAGAAUUCAGUGAAUCAUCGAAUCUUUGAACGCACAUUGCGCCCGCCAGCAUUCUGGCGGGCAUGCCUGUUCGAGCGUCAUUUCAACCCUCGACAUCCCCUUGGGGAAGUCGGCGUUGGGGACCGGCAGCACACCGCCGGCCCCGAAAUUGAGUGGCGGCCCGUCCGCGGCGACCUCUGCGUAGUAAUCCAACCUCGCACCGGAACCCCGACGUGGCCACGCCGUAAAACACCCAACUUUCUGAACGUUGACCUCGGAUCAGGUAGGAAUACCCGCUGAACUUAAGCAUAUCAAUAAGCGGAGGA
rnacentral:misc_RNA from 1 species